rnacentral:lncRNA from 1 species
AUGGCGGGGAAGCUGAAACCUCUGAAUGUGGAGGCGCCAGAAGCUACUGAGGAGGCUGAAGGCCGGACCUGAGCUCCCCCGCGCUCGCGACGAGGAGGAUCCCGAGCCGCCGGUGGCUGCCCCUGACGCCCUCUAGGCCAGCAGGACCCGCCCGUUCCCGACCUUCCCUCGAGACCCGCCAAGAAAUAAAGGCGAUGAUUUCCGACCAUGCUCGCGUUCUCCGCGGAGUCUGUGCUACACCGUGGAGCGGGGCGGGGCGUGCUGGGAUCUCGAGGCGGGGCCUC